GCUCCUUUAGCUCAGUGGAUAGAGCGUCUGUAAGCAGAAAGUCAAAGGUUCGACCCCUUCCUGGUGCG
rfam:Brassica napus, WGS project CCCW01000000 data, contig: 18762